GAAUGGUUAUGGCUGAAUUCUAUGGAAUUAUAGUGAAAAAUUCGUAUGACAGUACAGGUACUAAUUGAGUCAUAGCAGUUGCUGUGUAGCCCAGACUUGUGUAAUUGUUGGAUUUUCGGAUUCUACACUUAAUUCCCUUCAGUUUGGAUAUAAGUUUGAUAUGUUUUGGAUUAGAAAUGGAUUCGGAAAACGCGUUUGAAGUUUGGAUAUUGAUGCUGGAAACUGCAUAUGGGUUUUGGCAUGAAUUUUGCGGAGUAAGCUAAAAUGUGAGUUCAUGUUGGGGGAAUGAUUCCAGAACUGAAUAUGUAUGCUUAAUUGGCUGAGUAAGAGUUUGAUUUGAAGUUGAAAUGCAAAAAUUAGAGGUCGGAAGUAGGUAGCAGUUUUAUGCAAAAAUAUGUCGCGAGUUUGCAUAUGCGAGUGGCACCAUCGGAUGGCUCUAAGUGGGCGAUAUGGCUCGGUACUGCUAGCAAUUUCAGGUGGGUUCCCUUAGAGCCUUAAACUCUAGUUAGUUUAGCUCCAUUAGUUUCCCCAAAUAAAAUAUGCAUGAUAACAUUAGCUAGAAUAUGAUAAUAGUUUCCUCAAAUUAUUAAUGCAUGACCACUUUAAGGAAAUUAAGAUAUUAUUGUGUGAGAAGGUUUAAAUCCCAAAACCAUCUCCAUGAUAUUCAUUUAAUAUUGUUAUGUUGCUUAUAACUAGAGAAGAAUGGGAUUGUAAGUGGAAUUAGGAUAUAUUCUUUGAAAAUGCAAAGCACGGAACUGUACUGGUUUUCUCGCUUGGUGAGCAUGAAGAUUCGCCAAGCGAGUGUAGCAGAACAGAACUCUGCAAAAAUAAUGUUUUAAAUAAUAAUCCACUCGUUUUAUAUCCCUGAC
rnacentral:lncRNA from 1 species